GGACCAAGCCAGAAGGGGAAGUCUGGUGCCUAGAUAAGGAUGAGACAAGAGGAUGGGCUGGGGAGGCUGGAGGAGGAGGAUACACUCGGGAACUCCAAUAGAGACGAGACAGAUCUAAUGGCAAGGGAAGGUUGAUUCCAGAUGGCCCUCGCGGCUCGACAAUAGCGCAUCCGUCUUCAAAA